GGAAUUACUGGGCGUAAAGCGAGUGUAGGUGGCUCAUUAAGUCACAUGUGAAAUCCCCGGGCUUAACCUGGGAACUGCAUAUGAUACUGGUGGUGCUAGAAUAUGUGAGAGGGAAGUAGAAUUCCAGGUGUAGCGGUGAAAUGCGUAGAGAUCUGGAGGAAUACCGAUGGCGAAGGCAGCUUCCUGGCAUAAUAUUGACACUGAGAUUCGAAAGCGUGGGUAGCAAACAGGAUUAGAUACCCUGGUAGUCCACGCCGUAAACGAUGUCUACUAGCCGUUGGGGUCCUUGAGACUUUAGUGGCGCAGUUAACGCGAUAAGUAGACCGCCUGGGGAGUACGGCCGCAAGGUUAAAACUCAAAUGAAUUGACGGGGGCCCGCACAAGCGGUGGAGCAUGUGGUUUAAUUCGAUGCAACGCGAAGAACCUUACCUGGUCUUGACAUAGUGAGAAUCCUGCAGAGAUGCGGGAGUGCCUUCGGGAAUUCACAUACAGGUGCUGCAUGGCUGUCGUCAGCUCGUGUCGUGAGAUGUUGGGUUAAGUCCCGCAACGAGCGCAACCCUUUUCCUUAUUUGCCAGCGGGUUAAGCCGGGAACUUUAAGGAUACUGCCAGUGACAAACUGGAGGAAGGCGGGGACGACGUCAAGUCAUCAUGGCCCUUACGACCAGGGCUACACACGUGCUACGAUGGUAGGUACAGAGGGUUGCUACACAGCGAUGUGAUGCUAAUCUCGAAAAGCCUAUCGUAGUCCGGAUUGGAGUCUGCAACUCGACUCCAUGAAGUCGGAAUCGCUAGUA
rnacentral:rRNA from 1 species